rnacentral:rRNA from 1 species
AACACACAAAACAAGCGGUGAGUGCUUUGGGGUGGGGUGACUGCGUACCUUUUGUAUAAUGGGUCAGCGACUUAUAUUCUGUAGCAAGGUUAACCGUAUAGGGGAGCCGAAGGGAAACCGAGUCUUAACUGGGCGUUAAGUUGCAGGGUAUAGACCCGAAACCCGGUGAUCUAGCCAUGGGCAGGUUGAAGGUUGGGUAACACUAACUGGAGGACCGAACCGACUAAUGUUGAAAAAUUAGCGGAUGACUUGUGGCUGGGGGUGAAAGGCCAAUCAAACCGGGAGAUAGCUGGUUCUCCCCGAAAGCUAUUUAGGUAGCGCCUCGUGAACUCAUCUUCGGGGGUAGAGCACUGUUUCGGCUAGGGGGUCAUCCCGACUUACCAACCCGAUGCAAACUGCGAAUACCGAAGAAUGUUAUCACGGGAGACACACGGCGGGUGCUAACGUCCGUCGUGAAGAGGGAAACAACCCAGACCGCCAGCUAAGGUCCCAAAGUCACAGUUAAGUGGGAAACGAUGUGGGAAGGCUCAGACAGCCAGGAUGUUGGCUUAGAAGCAGCCAUCAUUUAAAGAAAGCGUAAUAGCUCACUGGUCGAGUCGGCCUGCGCGGAAGAUGUAACGGGGCUAAACUGUGCACCGAAGCUGCGGCAGCGACGCUUAUGCGUUGUUGGGUAGGGGAGCGUUCUGUAAGCCUGCGAAGGUGUCCUGUGAGGGAUGCUGGAGGUAUCAGAAGUGCGAAUGCUGACAUAAGUAACGAUAAUGCGGGUGAAAAGCCCGCUCGCCGGAAGACCAAGGGUUCCUGUCCAACGUUAAUCGGGGCAGGGUGAGUCGACCCCUAAGGCGAGGCCGAAAGGCGUAGUCGAUGGGAAACGGGUUAAUAUUCCCGUACUUGGUGUUACUGCGAAGGGGGGACGGAGAAGGCUAUGUUGGCCGGGCGACGGUUGUCCCGGUUUAAGCGUGUAGGCUGGUUUUCCAGGCAAAUCCGGAAAAUC